rnacentral:lncRNA from 1 species
UGCUUAAACAUUUGAAUACAGAUUCCUCCGGAUUGUUGAAUUCACUCAACUAGAAGUAAUAGGCGAUUUUAAAUCUUUAUAAAUGAUCUUGGGUAAAUUACUGGUGAUUGUGAGGGUUGUUUCCCAAUCAAAGGUUAUUUCUAGAUGGCUAUAUGCUUUGUUGCAAUUUCUGCUUCCACCUAUUUUCCAAGCAUUUUACUUAAGAAGGAUACUGUGUAGUUGAACUAAGGCUCUUUCCAGGCCGGGCUUGCAUCCUGUUGUGUAUUCUUUGUAUGCUGCUGACUAUAUCCCUAUUCUGCUGUAGGGGACUAGAUUUCUAAUAGAGAACAUUGGCAUGGUAGCUGAAGCCCACUCCUGUGCAAGCCAUACUGGAACUUCAUAUUGAGAAUAGAAGACGUAGAAAUCAGAUGGAUUUCCAAAGUGGCCAAACUUUUCAACUGUAAUUUUAUAAAUGAUACUACACUGAUAUAGCCAAUUAGAUUUAAAAUGUCUUCAAAAAUUACUUUAUUUUAUUUAAAGCAUCUGUUUAAUGCAACUUUUAAUCAGAUUUUGCAAAGGGUAUGUAUGUAUUUUAAUAUAGUCUGACCUGAAUUUAUAUGUUUUUAGCUUUAGUAUUUAACCUUUUAUAACAAAUAAACCAUUUUUUAAAAAA